GGGGUUGUGGCUCAGGGGUAGAGCACUUGCUUGGCAUGUAUGAGGCACUGGGUUAGAUACACAGCAACACAU
rnacentral:tRNA from 1 species